AUUGAACGCUGGCGGCAGGCCUAACCCAUGCAAGUCGAGCGGAGCGGCGGACGGGUGCGUAAUGCCUAGGAAUCUGCCUGGUAGUGGGGGAUCACGUCCGCACACGGGCGCUAAUACCGCAUCCUAUCAGAUGAGCCUAUGUCGGAUUAGCUAGUUGGUGGGGUAAAGGCCUACCAAGGCGACGAUACGUAACUGGUCUGAGAGGAUGAUCAGUCCCCCUGGAACUGGGACACGGUCCAGACUCCCACGGGAGGCAGCAGUGGGUAAUAUUGGACAAUGGGCGAAAGCCUGAUCCAGCCAUGCCGCGUGUGUGAAGAAGUUCUUCGGAUUGUAAAGCACUUGAAGUUGGGAGGCGUUACCAACAGAAUAAGCACCGGCUAACUUCGUGCCAGCAGCCGCGGGAAUAC
rnacentral:rRNA from 1 species